UCGGUAAUUCCAGCUCCAAUAGCGUAUAUUAAAGUUGUUGCGGUUAAAACGUUCGUAGUUGGAUUUCUGUUCAGGACAUCCAGUCCGUUCUCUGAGCGUGUAUUGGUUUGGCCUGGGCAUUUUUGUAGGGAACGUAUCUGCUCUUGAUUGAGCGGUGCGGAACCUACAACUUUUACUUUGAGGAAAUUAGAGUGUUUCAAGCAGGCUUCUGCCUUGAAUACGUUAGCAUGGAAUAAUAAGGUAGGACCUUAGUUCUAUUUUGUUGGUUUCUAGAGCUGGGGUAAUGAUUAAUAGGGAUAGUUGGGGGCAUUCGUAUUUAACUGUCAGAGGUGAAAUUCUUGGAUUUGUUAAAGACGAACUACUGCGAAAGCAUUUGCCAAGGAUGUUUUCAUUGAUCAGGAACGAAAGUUAGGGGAUCGAAGACGACCAGAUACCGUCCUAGUCUUAACCAUAAACUAUGCCGACUAGAGAUUGGAGGUCGUUAUUUACGACUCCUUCAGCACCUUAUGAGAAAUCAAAGUCUUUGGGUUCCGGUGGGAGUAUGGUCGCAAGGCUGAAACUUAAAGGAAUUGACGGAAGGGCACCACCAGGAGUGGAGCCUGCGGCUUAAUUUGACUCAACACGGGA
rnacentral:rRNA from 1 species